AGUGAACGCUGGCGGUAGGCCUAACACAUGCAAGUCGAACGGCAGCAGAAUAAGAGCUUGCUCUUACGAGUGGCGAGCGGCGGAGUGGUGCGGGAUACACCGGAACCUACUUUUUCGUGGGGGAUAACGUACGGAGACUUACACUCAUACCUCAUACGACCUACCGUUGAAAGCAGGAGAACUUUGGACCUUGGGGGAUUGAGUGAGCCGGCGGCCUGUUAGCUAGUUGGUGGGGUAGAGGCCUACCAAGGCAAUGAUGGGUAGCUGGGUUGAGAGACCGAGCAGCCAGAUUGGGACUGAGACACGGCCCAGACUCCUACGGGAGGCAGCAGUGGGGAAUCUUGCACAAUGGGCGAAAGCCUGAUGCAGCGACGCCGCGGGCGGGACGAAGGCCUUCGGGUUGUAAACCGCUUUCAGCAGGGACGAGGCGAUAAGUGACGGUACCUGCAGAAGAAGCCCCGGCUAACUACGUG
rnacentral:rRNA from 1 species